ACUUCUGUGGCUCAGCGGACUAAGCUGUGGACUUGUGUUCUAUAGAUUCUAGGUUCAAAUCCCAACAGUAGAAGGU